UACGGGGGGAGCAAGCGUUGUUCGGAUUUACUGGGCGUAAAGGGCGCGUAGGCGGCCACCGCAAGUCGACUGUGAAAUCUCCGGGCUUAACCCGGAAAGGUCAGCCGAUACUGCGGGGCUAGAGUGCAGAAGGGGCAACUGGAAUUCUCGGUGUAGCGGUGAAAUGCGCAGAUAUCAGGAGGAACACCGGUGGCGAAGGCGGUGGUCUGGGCCGGCACUGACGCUGAGGAGCGAAAGCGUGGGGAGCAAACAGG
rnacentral:rRNA from 1 species